GGGUUGUGAGGUUAAGCGACUAAGCGUACACGGUGGAUGCCCUGGCAGUCAGAGGCGAUGAAGGACGUGCUAAUCUGCGAUAAGCGUCGGUAAGGUGAUAUGAACCGUUAUAACCGGCGAUUUCCGAAUGGGGAAACCCAGUGUGAUUCGUCACACUAUCAUUAACUGAAUCCAUAGGUUAAUGAGGCGAACCGGGGGAACUGAAACAUCUAAGUACCCCGAGGAAAAGAAAUCAACCGAGAUUCCCCCAGUAGCGGCGAGCGAACGGGGAGCAGCCCAGAGCCUGAAUCAGUGUGUGUGUUAGUGGAAGCGUCUGGAAAGGCGCGCGAUACAGGGUGACAGCCCCGUACACAAAAAUGCACAUGCUGUGAGCUCGAUGAGUAGGGCGGGACACGUGGUAUCCUGUCUGAAUAUGGGGGGACCAUCCUCCAAGGCUAAAUACUCCUGACUGACCGAUAGUGAACCAGUACCGUGAGGGAAAGGCGAAAAGAACCCCGGCGAGGGGAGUGAAAAAGAACCUGAAACCGUGUACGUACAAGCAGUGGGAGCACGCUUAGGCGUGUGACUGCGUACCUUUUGUAUAAUGGGUCAGCGACUUAUAUUCUGUAGCAAGGUUAACCGAAUAGGGGAGCCGAAGGGAAACCGAGUCUUAACUGGGCGUUAAGUUGCAGGGUAUAGACCCGAAACCCGGUGAUCUAGCCAUGGGCAGGUUGAAGGUUGGGUAACACUAACUGGAGGACCGAACCGACUAAUGUUGAAAAAUUAGCGGAUGACUUGUGGCUGGGGGUGAAAGGCCAAUCAAACCGGGAGAUAGCUGGUUCUCCCCGAAAGCUAUUUAGGUAGCGCCUCGUGAAUUCAUCUCCGGGGGUAGAGCACUGUUUCGGCAAGGGGGUCAUCCCGACUUACCAACCCGAUGCAAACUGCGAAUACCGGAGAAUGUUAUCACGGGAGACACACGGCGGGUGCUAACGUCCGUCGUGAAGAGGGAAACAACCCAGACCGCCAGCUAAGGUCCCAAAGUCAUGGUUAAGUGGGAAACGAUGUGGGAAGGCCCAGACAGCCAGGAUGUUGGCUUAGAAGCAGCCAUCAUUUAAAGAAAGCGUAAUAGCUCACUGGUCGAGUCGGCCUGCGCGGAAGAUGUAACGGGGCUAAACCAUGCACCGAAGCUGCGGCAGCGACGCUUAUGCGUUGUUGGGUAGGGGAGCGUUCUGUAAGCCUGCGAAGGUGUGCUGUGAGGCAUGCUGGAGGUAUCAGAAGUGCGAAUGCUGACAUAAGUAACGAUAAAGCGGGUGAAAAGCCCGCUCGCCGGAAGACCAAGGGUUCCUGUCCAACGUUAAUCGGGGCAGGGUGAGUCGACCCCUAAGGCGAGGCCGAAAGGCGUAGUCGAUGGGAAACAGGUUAAUAUUCCUGUACUUGGUGUUACUGCGAAGGGGGGACGGAGAAGGCUAUGUUGGCCGGGCGACGGUUGUCCCGGUUUAAGCGUGUAGGCUGGUUUUCCAGGCAAAUCCGGAAAAUCAAGGCUGAGGCGUGAUGACGAGGCACUACGGUGCUGAAGCAACAAAUGCCCUGCUUCCAGGAAAAGCCUCUAAGCAUCAGGUAACAUCAAAUCGUACCCCAAACCGACACAGGUGGUCAGGUAGAGAAUACCAAGGCGCUUGAGAGAACUCGGGUGAAGGAACUAGGCAAAAUGGUGCCGUAACUUCGGGAGAAGGCACGCUGAUAUGUAGGUGAAGUGAUUUACUCAUGGAGCUGAAAUCAGUCGAAGAUACCAGCUGGCUGCAACUGUUUAUUAAAAACACAGCACUGUGCAAACACGAAAGUGGACGUAUACGGUGUGACGCCUGCCCGGUGCCGGAAGGUUAAUUGAUGGGGUCAGCGCAAGCGAAGCUCUUGAUCGAAGCCCCGGUAAACGGCGGCCGUAACUAUAACGGUCCUAAGGUAGCGAAAUUCCUUGUCGGGUAAGUUCCGACCUGCACGAAUGGCGUAAUGAUGGCCAGGCUGUCUCCACCCGAGACUCAGUGAAAUUGAACUCGCUGUGAAGAUGCAGUGUACCCGCGGCAAGACGGAAAGACCCCGUGAACCUUUACUAUAGCUUGACACUGAACAUUGAGCCUUGAUGUGUAGGAUAGGUGGGAGGCUUUGAAGUGUGGACGCCAGUCUGCAUGGAGCCGACCUUGAAAUACCACCCUUUAAUGUUUGAUGUUCUAACGUUGACCCGUAAUCCGGGUUGCGGACAGUGUCUGGUGGGUAGUUUGACUGGGGCGGUCUCCUCCUAAAGAGUAACGGAGGAGCACGAAGGUUGGCUAAUCCUGGUCGGACAUCAGGAGGUUAGUGCAAUGGCAUAAGCCAGCUUGACUGCGAGCGUGACGGCGCGAGCAGGUGCGAAAGCAGGUCAUAGUGAUCCGGUGGUUCUGAAUGGAAGGGCCAUCGCUCAACGGAUAAAAGGUACUCCGGGGAUAACAGGCUGAUACCGCCCAAGAGUUCAUAUCGACGGCGGUGUUUGGCACCUCGAUGUCGGCUCAUCACAUCCUGGGGCUGAAGUAGGUCCCAAGGGUAUGGCUGUUCGCCAUUUAAAGUGGUACGCGAGCUGGGUUUAGAACGUCGUGAGACAGUUCGGUCCCUAUCUGCCGUGGGCGCUGGAGAACUGAGGGGGGCUGCUCCUAGUACGAGAGGACCGGAGUGGACGCAUCACUGGUGUUCGGGUUGUCAUGCCAAUGGCACUGCCCGGUAGCUAAAUGCGGAAGAGAUAAGUGCUGAAAGCAUCUAAGCACGAAACUUGCCCCGAGAUGAGUUCUCCCUGACUCCUUGAGAGUCCUGAAGGAACGUUGAAGACGACGACGUUGAUAGGCCGGGUGUGUAAGCGCAGCGAUGCGUUGAGCUAACCGGUACUAAUGAACCGUGAGGCUUAACCUUACAACGCCGAAG
rnacentral:rRNA from 1 species